CUGAGUGGUGUCACACCUGACCUCAUCUAGUCCUCUGGUUUGGUCAGUCAUAACCAGAGGAAACUUCCUAUUUGGAAAACCCUGGCUUCUCAAUGGAUGCAUAAACCAGCAUGCUGCACAAAAAGCAACAGUGCAAAAAGCUGGGUUUCCAGCAACUGUGUGAACAGACACCACCUAACCCCUGCUUCCUGCCAGGUAAUCUGCUGUAUCCUAUGGCUGUAGUGUGAUUUAAAGGUGGCUUUGAGGACAACUGGCAAAGGUAGGUUCCAAAUUCAAGACGUAAGGACUGCUAGGGAAAGGACACACAUUGUAGGUAUCAGGCUAUUACAUUCAAGUCAGCAGAAGCAUAGGGAAAUGUCAAACACCCAAUGAGAUCUCUCACCAAUUAUCCAGGGAGGGGAGGCUAGCACCUAGGAAGGAAGAAAGCAUGGAAGAGACCUCAGCUUCUUCAGCCCACCGACAACACUGCUUCCACGGUUUAUGCUCUUUAUGAUACAAGCAGUACAGGCUCACGUUAAGCUUUUAAAAGAUGCUUUUAUUUAUUUUGUAGUAUGUGCAUUACAGGAAACAAAACACAAGAAGCCAAGAACAGUCUCCCAGUCAUAAGCGCUCAGCUUGCUGUGUCCUUCUAGAUGCUGUAAUGUACACACAUUUAGGGAAUUGAGAUUAUACAAUUAUGUAUCAAGCUUUCCCCCACACACACAUUGUGAAUAUUCACCAACUAAAACCCCCAACGCUACAUGAGUAUUUUGAUAACCAAGAACACACCACGCCAUCUCAAUCUGUCAGACAAGACUGUAAUCCUGUCUUCCUUGGCAACAAAAAUUUCAUAGAAGACAAAAAUGGCAGCAGGGCUUCUAGAUAGAAAUACUGGCGAAGUUACAAUUAAAAUUCUGCAUUCCCUCAAUGCUCAGCUUAUAAGGAAACACAAAGCAACAGACCAACUAAGUACAGCAUUCCUAAGAUCUAUAUAGUAAAUAUGAAGGUGUUCCUGCUCAAUAAAUGUAUUCCUAUGGAGCACUUUAGAUGCGCCUACGGCAGGGGUCCUCAGGAUGUCAAUGUCAACACAGCACAGCGCCGUAGAUCUCGCCCUGUGAACCUCUCUGCCUCUCCAGUCAGUCUAACAACAUGAAUUAACUCACACUGUCCAGACAUGGCGUAACAAUUCAAGAGGCACCUUUUCUGUCAAUCUAUGAAGCUAUACUUUUAACCAUAUGCUCUCCUUUAGGACAUUCAUGAAGUUCAGAUGUUGUGGGAUGAACUUUGUACACAAUAAACACAAGUAUCUGCACAUACGGAUCCCUGGGUACAGCUGUUUUCUAGAUGUGGUGGUCCUAGCAAAGAGCUCUUCCUUCAUCCGUCCUCUUCUCUGCACAACUCCUGUCCAGGAUGCUGCCAGUCUUACAAAGGUCACCCCCAGAAGACAGCCCUUCUUUUGGGCACUGGAACUUAUUCUCUAAUACUUGGCAACAUUCACCAUUAACUGAAAUGCACACAGGAACAGUGGCUAGGCCGGUGGAACCAACCAACGGGCAGCGCCUUGCCCUGCACUAUUCUUUCUCCUAUUCGCCUCCACCAGGUAACAGUAUCUGCUCAAAGACAAAGCUUACCAAUUCCACACCCCCCAUAACCAUUCCUAUGAAAUAAUAAUCCUUAAAAGGUGUUAACUCUCUAUUUUUACCAUGUGCAUUUUUUACAUUAAUUAGUACAUGUGGGCACAUGCAUGCCACUUGUAUAAGGCUAUAAGACAAUUUGUGAAUCACUUUUCUCCUUUCAUCAUGGGGAUCCUGGCAAGCAGACUCAGGCCACCAGCUGGGUGACAAGCCCCUUUAUCUGCUGGGCCAUCCCAACAGUCCAUUAUGCACAUUUUCUUACUGUUUUGAGACAAAGUCUGUGUAGCCCUGGCUGGCCUGGAACUCACAAGAUCCACCUGCCUCAACCUAGGAUUAAAGGUAUGCAUUACCGCACCAAAUCUAUUAUGCACUUUAAAGUCUAAAGACUAGAUGUUUCCACUAACACUUCUGUUUCCCCAGCAUAUGUACAAUGCAGUGCAGUAAAUAAACUGCACACACCUAUAAAUAGCAACCUUCUGGUCUAGAACCUCUCCCCAUCUCUCUUAACCCAGUUUAUGUAACUUAUGUUUUUUUUUUUUUUGUGGGGAUAUUAACAAUUUCACGUCCUAAAUGGUUUUGAGUUUUUUCCUAUGAAUUUUCACAACUUUAAAAUAUGUCUUUUCACUAACUCUACUUUGUCACACACUGGCAGCCUCUUCUCCAUCUAGGAAGACUAAGUGCUGCAUAUUUGGAUUUGGUUGUCUUACCAUACACCACACAUUGCAAAAAUAAGAUACACAGAUAAAAGGGACAAUGGCUAAUCUUCAUUACCAAAACUUACAUUAGUAUUAGGCCCUUCAUAACUCUUUCUUCCUCCCUCCCAAACCAGCACACGUCAUAUUGCUCAGAAGUGAUUUUAGCAUUCCAUUUCCAAAAGACAUUUCACCACGAGUUUAAACAGAAUAAUGUACAGAAUAAUCUACAACAAGUAUUAUUUACUACGUCUACCUUUAACAUACUUUGUGCACUUCUAAACACCUAGAAGGACUAGAUGUUUCAGAUGAGGACAUAAAUGUGUCCCCUAUAUACAGAGUAGUGUUGAAACCACACACAUGUAACAAUGAGUAGAUCUCAAAGUGUCUUCUGCUGAGAGCAUUCUGGGCUCCCACCUCCUUUCUCUCCAGCCCCUCCCCUGUAUCAUGUGACACAGGCACCUGAUACUUUCACCACUCCUUUCAGAAGACAACCUUGCUAUGACUUUUAAUACAGAGUAUAUAGAAUGGGCUAGUUUACCGACUCUACUUUUGCCAUACACUGGCAACCUCUUUAAUACCUAGAAACUAAAAUCAGGACUCCUUUGUCCAGUAUGUACAAUAUAUACAGUAUAGCAAAGUUAAAUGAAGUAUAUACAGGGGGUGAUGGGUAAGCUAAAACUAUCUAGCACACUAAUGGAAUCUUUUUGCAGUUUCUUCCCCCCCACCUCCUCAAUCCACUGAACAAGUACAGCUGGUACUGUUCUCAGAGGUGGGUUAGCAAUUCUACUCUAAACAUAGUAUCUCCAGUUUUUCAAAAUUUAUUUACAUGAAGUUUUAUUCUACUACUUCUACUUUUAAAUGUAAACUUAUCUGCUAUUCACACCGCACUAGUAAAUAAAACUAUGUAAAGCAAUGGUUAUUAUCUGAGGUAUCUUCUAAACGUAACCAUCUGGGCUUUGACCCACUUUCUUCUUUUCUCCCUUCUGUCUGCCUUCAAACCAGUAGACAAAUAUAGGCAUAUGCAAUGCUUAGAAAUUGCUGAACAAAUUCAUAUCCCCAAAUCAUUUACACGGCAAUCUUUCCUAUAAAUUUUAACAGUGUACACAAUGUGCUAAUUUUGUCAUACACUGGCAACCUCUUUAACAUUUAGCGAGUAGAAGCUGACAUGUCCAUUAUAUACAGUAUACACAGAGCAAAACAAAAUGCAAAUAUAUAGAAGUGGCAUCUGAAAAGGUCCCAUAUAAAAAACACUACCUCGAUGUCUCCCAGCGCUUCCUCCAGAGCACUGAGCAAGUACAGGCAGUACUGCUCAUAGAGGUGCUCAUAAUUCUACUCCCAAAGACAGUGUUUCAUGAAUUUUAGCAAAAAGAUAUUUACAAAGUGAUAUUUCACUACCUCUACAUUUAACAUACGUUGGGCACUUCUAAACAUCUGGAUAGACCAGAUGUUUCAAGUAAGGACUGUUGUCCACUAUGUACACAGCAGUCCAGUAAACAGCACACAUGGAACAAGAGUAAUAAUUAAAAAAUUUUUUAACACAAAAAGAAAAAUUUUAACACAAAAGUACAAAAUAUUGUUCUACUACCUCUACUUUGUCAUACACUGGCAACCUCUUUAACAUCUAGAGUGACUAGAUGCUGUGAAUAGGACCCCUUUGUCCUUUAUAUAUACUAUGUACACAGCAAAGCCAAACGAAAUGGGACAGUGGGUUUUUUCCACCCAUGGAGCACAAUGACUUAGAGCUCUACAUUUCCUUCUCCUGGAAACCAGGGAACAAACACAAUGUGGUCACCUCAGGAGGGCUUUGGCUAUUCCUCCCCAAACAAUAUUUCAAAUGAAUCCUAACAAAAACGUAUUUACAUAAUGUAUUGUUUUACUACUACUAAUAAAAUAUGUCAGGCACUUUAGAGUAUCUAGAAAGAUAUUUCCCCAAAAAUACUUGGCAUUGUCAAACACACACCACACCACACCACACCCACACACGCAGGCACAUACACACACGGGGGAGGGGGGGUGUUGAAAUGAAUAAAAUGCAUACACAAUGCAAUAGAAUACAAAAGAAGACGUCUUCACACGACCAAUCUGGCUCCGGACCUCCUCUUCCUCCUGCUGGGUCCUCUAACCUAUUGAACAAACUAGGACGAGUGUCGCUCCUGGGGUCUUUUCUAGAGGUGGCUUAAACAAUUCCAUUGCAAAGUCACUUCUGGAAGACACGUCUACGAUGUUUCUAAAGACGACUGGAUACACACAUGUGAUGUCCUACCUCUACUUUACCCUGCGUCGGCAAUCUCUACAGCUAGCUGGAUGUCCAGAUUUCGCCAAAGGUCUCUAUAAAGGGUCGGGGGAAAGGUUGAGAGCAGCUUUUCCAUAUUAUAUACAAGGCCUUCUACGGCGGCGGCUGCGUCUUCGCCAGCCUUUCCGACUGGCCGCAAGCGAUGUCACGUCCCGGCUUCUCUCGGGUGGAAGGAGGACCCGCGCCCCCACGAUCCGUCGAUCCUCGGGCUGCUAUGCGUUCCUCCAGGACCGUGGGGACCUCUGUCGAUCCAGGUCUAAGGGCUCGACAACCGGGCGGGUCCCUCGCAGCGAAGGCCGAGUGCUCUGCGCAGAUCCGCCGCCUCAGGCUGCAGAGGCCCCGAAGAGCCAACCUUGGCCUUCGGGUGGCCACCAUUCUUCCCGCCACGCCACGCCCGCCCGCCGACUCCAGGGAGGGGUCCUCGAAGGCCGGCUGGGGGCUUCUGCAUGGCCCGGCCCCGGGGAGCAGGGGUCCGGCGGGGUCGAGGAGGCCUCGCGCAGAGGGCGCCGCCAUCGCGGCGCUUCGUUGGCGGAGGAAGAGUCGCUGUCGGGUCGCGGAUCGGCCGGGCCGGCGCCGCUGGGAGGGCUCGGGCUCCUGGGGUCCGCAGGACGUAGACCGGAGCUGCCCCCGGGCCCCCCGGCUCACCCGGCGCAGGCCGGAGGCGGUGGGGGGCCCGGAGGAAGGAGGCCGCACUCCCUAGCUCGCCACGCUCUCUGCCGGAACUGACUUGGCAGUUCUCCUCGCUCAAACAGGAGCGGCACCGGAAGUUUCCAUAAACACCGCCGGAGAGCUACAGUGACCCAACUUCAACGUUCCGGCCAGGAGCGGGGCGCCUUCUGCAGUCCUACUGGAAUACGACAUGAUGGAUUCUGGGGCCUAAACUCAGGUCCUCCUGCUUUGCAAUACACACUGAUAUGACCUUUAUAUUCUAAUUCAGCUACCAACAGGUGAACUGCUUCCCAGAAGUACUAAAUGGAUAAUUCCCCAAAUAAACAAUGUGUAAGUUCUGAGUGACAUGAUGAAAUACUUUUGUCUCAUGCCAUUCAUCCAGGAUGUAAAUUGUCUUUUAUCUGUUCUGUCCUCAAUCAGUCACCCUGUCAGCUAUCAGACUGAUUGUUAUCAAAUCACAUAGCAAGUUCCACAUGAGCCAAGGCAACGACACUAUCCUUGGGGCUAGAGCAAUGGCUCUAUCUAGUGGAUUAGACUUUGGAUCCCAGCACCCACAUCAGGAAGCACAAAAUACCUGUAACUAUAACUACAAGAACUCCAAAGCCACUUGUUAGCUUCAGUUAACACCACAGAGAGAGAGAGAGAGACAGAGAGAUGGGGCGGGGGAGAAAGAGAAUAAAAUGUCAAAAAUGCC
rnacentral:lncRNA from 1 species